rnacentral:rRNA from 1 species
UACAGAGGUCUCAAGCGUUGUUCGGAUUCAUUGGGCGUAAAGGGUGCGUAGGUGGCAUGGUAAGUCGGAUGUGAAAUCCCGGGGCUUAACCCCGGAACUGCAUUCGAUACUGCCAGGCUAGAGUACUGGAGAGGAGAUUGGAAUUUACGGUGUAGCAGUGAAAUGCGUAGAUAUCGUAAGGAAGACCAGUGGCGAAGGCGGAUCUCUGGACAGUUACUGACACUGAGGCACGAAGGCCAGGGGAGCAAACGGG